AAGGAAAUGUAAAGAACUUGUAGAAAUCGGAAGAAGAAAAAUCGAAAAGAAUGGUUGGGGUGUUGAAAACAACGUAGAUUUGAUUCUCAUUUCCCAUCAGGUGAGUCCGGUGAGUGAUACAGACACAUGUGUAUUAUUCCAAUAUACAGGAUUGGAUUCUCAUUGGGAAUAACUUCUGAAAUAGAUUGAAUGCCUACCAAGUAAAGGAGAGCAGGAUGACCACGCGCGGUGCAGCAACAGGCGAGAACCGCUGCGACGG
rnacentral:lncRNA from 13 species